GACGAACGCUGGCGGCGUGCCUAAUACAUGCAAGUCGAGCGCGGGAAGUCAGGGAAGCCUUCGGGUGGAACUGGUGGAACGAGCGGCGGAUGGGUGAGUAACACGUAGGUAACCUGCCCUAAAGCGGGGGAUACCAUCUGGAAACAGGUGCUAAUACCGCAUAACCCCAGCAGUCACAUGAGUGCUGGUUGAAAGACGGCUUCGGCUGUCACUUUAGGAUGGACCUGCGGCGUAUUAGCUAGUUGGUGGAGUAACGGUUCACCAAGGCGAUGAUACGUAGCCGACCUGAGAGGGUAAUCGGCCACAUUGGGACUGAGACACGGCCCAAACUCCUACGGGAGGCAGCAGUAGGGAAUCUUCCACAAUGGACGCAAGUCUGAUGGAGCAACGCCGCGUGGAUGAAGAAGGUCUUCGGAUCGUAAAAUCCUGUUGUUGAAGAAGAACGGUUGUGAGAGUAACUGCUCAUAACGUGACGGUAAUCAACCAGAAAGUCACGGCUAACUACGUGCCAGCCGCCGCAGUAACAC
rnacentral:rRNA from 1 species